rnacentral:rRNA from 1 species
AGAUUGAACGCUGGCUGCAGGCCUAACACAUGCAAGUCGAGCGGCAGCACGGGUACUUGUACCUGGUGGCGAGCGGCGGGCGGGUGAGUAAUGCCUAGGAAUCUGCCUGGUAGUGGGGGAUAACGCUCGGAAACGGACGCUAAUACCGCAUACGUCCUACGGGAGAAAGCAGGGGACCUUCGGGCCUUGCGCUAUCAGAUGAGCCUAGGUCGGAUUAGCUAGUUGGUGAGGUAAUGGCUCACCAAAGGCGACGAUCCGUAACUGGUCUGAGAGGAUGAUCAGCCACACUGGGACUGAGACACGGCCCAGAC